rnacentral:rRNA from 1 species
AUUGAACGCUGGCGGCAUGCCUUACACAUGCAAGUCGAACGGCAGCACGGGAGCAAUCCUGGUGGCGAGUGGCGAACGGGUGAGUAAAGUAUCGGAACGUGCCCAGUCGUUGGGGAUAACGUAGCGAAAGUUACGCUAAUACCGCAUGCGAUCUAUGGAUGAAAGCGGGGGAUCGCAAGACCUCGCGCGAUUGGAGCGGCCGAUAUCAGAUUAGGUAGUUGGUGGGGUAAAGGCUCACCAAGCCGACGAUCUGUAGCUGGUCUGAGAGGACGACCAGCCACACUGGGACUGGGACCCGGCCCAGACGCCUCCGGGAGGCAGCAGUGGGGAAUUUUGGACAAUGGGCGAAAGCAUGAUCCAGCCAGGCCGCGUGCAGGAUGAAGGCCUUCGGGUUGUAAACUGCUUUUGUACGGAACGAAAAGGUUUGGCCUAAUAAGCUGAGCUCAUGACGGUACCGUAAGAAUAAGCACCGGCUAACUACGUGCCAGCAGCCGCCGUAA